CCUACGGGCGGCAGCAGUGGGGAAUAUUGCACAAUGGGGGGAACCCUGAUGCAGCGACGCCGCGUGGGUGAGGAAGUACUUCGGUAUGUAAAGCCCUAUCAGCAGGGAAGAAAAUGACGGUACCUGACUAAGAAGCCCCGGCUAACUACGUGCCAGCAGCCGCGGUAAUACGUAGGGGGCAAGCGUUAUCCGGAUUUACUGGGUGUAAAGGGAGCGUAGACGGCGUGCCAAGUCUGGUGUGAAAGGCCGGGGCUCAACCCCGGGACUGCAUUGGAAACUGGCAUGCUGGAGUGCCGGAGAGGUAAUCGGAAUUCCUUGUGUAGCGGUGAAAUGCGUAGAUAUAAGGAAGAACACCAGUGGCGAAGGCGGAUUACUGGACGAUAACUGACGGUGAGGCGCGAAAGCGUGGGGAGCAAACAGGAUUAGAUACCCUUGUAGUC
rnacentral:rRNA from 1 species